UACGUAGGCAGCGAGCGUUGUUCGGAAUUACUGGGCGUAAAGAGUGUGUAGGCGGUGUUCCCAGUCUGUUGUGAAAUCUCCCGGCUUAACUGGGAGGGUGCAGCGGAAACUAGAAUGCUAGAGGGUGGGAGAGGUAAGCGGAAUUCCUGGUGUAGCGGUGAAAUGCGUAGAUAUUCGGAGGAACACCAGUGGCGAAGGCGGCUCACUGGCUCGAUACUGACGCUGAGGUGCGAAAGCGUGGGGAGCAAACAGG
rnacentral:rRNA from 1 species